rnacentral:rRNA from 1 species
UACGGAGGGGACUAGCGUUGUUCGGAAUUACUGGGCGUAAAGCGCACGUAGGCGGAUUUGUAAGUCAGGGGUGAAAUCCCGGGGCUCAACCUCGGAACUGCCUUUGAUACUGCAAAUCUCGAGUCCGGAAGAGGUGAGUGGAAUUCCUAGUGUAGAGGUGAAAUUCGUAGAUAUUAGGAAGAACACCAGUGGCGAAGGCGGCUCACUGGUCCGGUACUGACGCUGAGGUGCGAAAGCGUGGGGAGCAAACAGGGAU